rnacentral:rRNA from 1 species
UACAGAGGGGGCAAGCGUUAUUCGGAAUUAUUGGGCGUAAAGGGCGCGUAGGCGGCCUGACAAGUGGAAGGUGAAAUCCCUCGGCUCAACUGAGGAACUGCCCUCCAAACUGUUUGGCUUGAGACCGGGAGAGGUGAGUGGAAUUCCCAGUGUAGCGGUGAAAUGCGUAGAUAUUGGGAGGAACACCGGUGGCGAAGGCGGCCCCCUGGACCGGAACUGACGCUGAGGCGCGAAAGCGUGGGUAGCAAACGGG